UCUUCCCCUAGAGCUGUGCGGGUGUGGCUGCUGUCACAUGUGCAUGAUGAGUAGGUGACAGAGAGGAGAGGCUAUGUCUACUCAGUGUUCUGACCUGUGAACAUCUGCAUGAUUAGUAGCCUAACAUU